rnacentral:rRNA from 1 species
UGGGGAAUAUUGGACAAUGGGCGCAAGCCUGAUCCAGCCAUGCCGCGUGAGUGAUGAAGGCCCUAGGGUUGUAAAGCUCUUUCGCCAGGGACGAUAAUGACGGUACCUGGAUAAGAAGCCCCGGCUAACUUCGUGCCAGCAGCCGCGGUAAUACGAAGGGGGCUAGCGUUGUUCGGAAUCACUGGGCGUAAAGCGCACGUAGGCGGAUCUUUAAGUCAGGGGUGAAAUCCCGAGGCUCAACCUCGGAACUGCCUUUGAUACUGGAGGUCUCGAGUUCGGGAGAGGUGAGUGGAACUGCGAGUGUAGAGGUGAAAUUCGUAGAUAUUCGCAAGAACACCAGUGGCGAAGGCGGCUCACUGGCCCGAUACUGACGCUGAGGUGCGAAAGCGUGGGGAGCAAAACAGGAUUAGAUACCCUGGUAGUCCACGCCGUAAAACGAUGGAUGCUAGCCGUUGGAGAGCUUGCUCUUCAGUGGCGCAGCUAACGCUUUAAGCAUCCCGCCUGGGGAGUACGGUCGCAAGAUUAAAACUCAAAUGAAUUGACGGGGUCAUAGCUGUUUCCUG